UAGAAAUUUUUCACACCAGCCUAUUAAUCAACCAAAGACCAUUCUUAAAGAUGGCGGCGCGAGCAGUCACUGCAGCCCGGCGCUUUCCUCAACUUAGCGGUUUUCUUUUUAUUUUGUGUAUUUUUGUUUCACUUUUCCUCCGACAUGCAGGAGCACAUAUGCAGCACAGCAAAACUGAACUGCUUGCGGUUCUAAACUACAAAAACCUGCACAUCUUCGCUGACAAUGACUGGGACUCAAUUCCCCCUGAGAUCCGGAGGGUCACUAACUCUAAUUUCACCAUACCACCGCUGAAGUGGCGUAGGUGACGGAGGCACAGGAAACAGAAGAGAGGGAAGAGAGCGGGGCUAAAGGCUAGGCUACGUGCUAACCCACACGGACCGGCUAUUCCGAGUCUCUUCCUCACCAACUCACGGUCACUAAAUAACAAGAUGGAUGAGCUACGACUGCAGAUCACCUCACGCUGUUUGGAUUACUGUCUUAUGAUCAUCACAGAGACUUGGCUGGACUCUUUUACCCCAGACACUGCGAUUGAGCUAGCGGGUCACGCUACAUUCAGAGCAGACAGGAACAAAGAGUCCGUUUUGCUCCCCUAACCCUAACCCAGGCCUGGAGAGUCCCUGCCUUGGAGCCAGCCACACCUGUGAUAAUCACUCACCUGUUGCUGAUCCGCCUAAUCAAGGGGCUCUACUUAAGACAGCAGUGGAGCAGCAGUCCGCGCGGGAUUGUUAAACUAGAAAUACAGGUGAUUACGGAAACGUGUGGAGGGAGCAGUACACAGUUGAACACAGGCACCGAGGAGGACGAAGCACUACCACGCAUCACGGAGAGGAAUCACGGCACGGGGAAUUGGGAAAGCACACACUGUGGAUUGUUGGCACUGUUUUCCGUAUCUACCCCGGACCUUUCCCUGCCUGCCUGUUAUCGUGUGGACGAGUGAGUGGAUUUGUGUUGCCCCAUUGUGGAGAGAGAAGAGAGAGCCAUUGGAGUGUGUCUGAAUCCCGUCCUUCCCCUCACAUGCCCCGGAGCCCUGGACCCCCCUCCCCUCCCUCCAGCACGUUGUAAAUAGUAUCACCUGGUGUCGUUUGUACUAAUAAACUGUCAACUCUGCUAGGAUUCCCGGUCUGCGCCUGAGUCCAUUAACUAAGACGUGACACAGAGAGCCAUGGAAACUCAGUGUGCCAUUAAACUUGGAAGAAGUUGAACAAAGUGGAACAGAGUCGAGUUCUCCUGUUGUUGAAAAUGUUUAGUUUUAAGUGUUUCUGCCUCCACUCAUGCUGGGUUACCAAAGAAAUGACCAAGCAGUAUAAUUUGGAAACAGAAGCACAUCACAAACCGUAGUGCAAAAAUAUAUUAGCCAAACAUGCUGUCACAUAAGUGCACCCUGUGGCAUCCCAGCUUGAACUGCAUCCCUUUACAACAGCACCAAGCUGUAAGGAAGAAAUAAUCCGGUGUAUGUGUCUCACAGAAGGCUUCACCAGCAUCUCAAGGUCGACUGGUCCACAGUCCAGGACCAUACAUGGGUGUGAGGAACUAACUUAACACCUGAACGUCACAACAAGCAGUCAGAGGAAGCAAUCUGAUCUUCAUCAUUUUCAUGCACAUCCAUUACAUCCAUUACAAACACCUACGUCAUCAUGGCAACUGGUGUGACCAUGAUCUUUUUCAAAAAGGAGCGUCCACGCAGGAAAUGAUGUCGGGAAAAAUGACCCAACAUUAACCUAUCCUCUCCUAUUCAUAGUCUUUUAUUUUAGGUCACGAGCAGUUGUCUAAGCAUUUCACUGCAUAUCGUACUGUGUAUGUGACAAAUAAAAGUUGAAUUUGAAUUAACCAAGCAACAUGUUUUUACUU